UACGGAGGAUGCAAGCGUUGUCCGGAAUCAUUGGGCGUAAGGGGUCCUGAGGUGGUUUGCUCAGUCCACUGUGAAAGUUCAGGGCUUACCCUUGAAAAUGCGGUGGAAACUAGUAGGCUAGAGUACGGUGGGGGCAGAGGGAAUUCCCGAUGUAGCGGUGAAAUGCAUAGAUAUCGGGAAGAACACCGAUGGCGAAGGCACUCUGCUGGGCCGACACUGACACUGAAAGACGAAAGCCAGGGGAGCGAAUGGG
rnacentral:rRNA from 1 species